CAGAUACUUAACUGACUAAGCCACCCAGGCACGCCAUGAAUUACUAUUUCUGCUAAAGCCCCAGGAGCUCUCCAGCUUGCUCAUCCCUGCCACUGGGGUUCUGUGCAGACACAGGUAGAGAAAAAAACAGCAUUGGCAAGGUGAAGGAGCAACACUGAAAGUCACACUCGGACUCAGGUUUAGGCUGCCUUGAACAUGCUGGCCCUGUGGCACCCACCGACCUGUGGAGAGAAAAGCAUCCCAUCCGAUGGACCACCACCCACCCAGACAGAGUGCAGAUGGGCUCUGUUGAGCCUUUUGUGAUACCUGCUCUUGGAACCGAGCCACCACACUGUGAGGAAGUCCAAGCCACCCUGUGGAGAGGCGGGUAUGGAGAGAAGCAGCAUCCAGUGACUCGAAGCCGGUGAGUGAGUCAUCUUGGAAGAGCCACGUGGGGCAGAGGUGAGCUGUCCCUGAUUGCUGCCGUCUUAAGUCACUAAUUUUUGGAGUAGUUUGUUUGAAGAGAUAGAUAAUGGAGGCAUCCCCUGUCCCCCCACCAAACUGGGAGCCACCGGCUUAGGAGGCGGGAAACGGGCCAGCUCUUUGUCCCUGGAGCUGGAACCUAGGUCAGCAUCGUUCCUUCAACAAGUAUUUGUUGCGUGACCACCAAGUGCUAGACACUGUUCCAAGGGCCGAGGAGUUACUACUGAAUGAGACGGACCCCAAGAAAGGGUGGUGGGGAGAAUCGUCUUCCUGUGGGAGGUUAUUUCUAAGCUGAGACCCGUCUAAGGAAGAGGAGUUAGCCACGCACAGAAGCAGAGAAAGGCCAGAUGCACCACCGUGUGCUAGUUCUGGAUGAGGUUAACAGAUUU